UACGGGGGGAGCAAGCGUUGUUCGGAUUUACUGGGCGUAAAGGGCGCGUAGGCGGUCAGUGCAAGUCAGUUGUGAAAUCUCCGGGCUUAACUCGGAAAGGUCAACUGAUACUGCUCGACUAGAGUGCGGAAGGGGCAACUGGAAUUCUUGGUGUAGCGGUGAAAUGCGUAGAUAUCAAGAGGAACACCUGCGGCGAAGGCGGGUUGCUGGGCCGACACUGACGCUGAAGUGCGAAAGCCAGGGGAGCGAACGGGG
rnacentral:rRNA from 1 species